GCAGGAUCGGAGGAUAUUUAUGUCCCCAGUGUAAAAUGGUUUAAGGAAAUGGACACAUUUUUACGUAACGUAGAGGAUAAUAAGAGGCCUACGCAGGAUAAUUUCAAUAUACAACGCGAAGAAGAAGUUAAUGAACAAAAAUGAGAAAAUAAAGAAAAAAUAAUGGCUGCAAGAAACGAAACGUCUCAGGAAGUACCGCAGAAAAAAAGUAGAACUACGUCAAAAUUGAGGCAAGUUACUGCAGUAGUUAACGACCUAAAAAAAAUAAGCGAAACUCUGACACAUGAACCUGCCAAUGAGCAUGAAUACAUAGCUUUUGGUCGCAGUGUUGCUGCACAAUUAGUGACGUUAACUCCUCUUUCCGCCAUACAAGUACAGGAACGCAUUCAGUCUGUUCUGAUAAGUUUUAAAUUACAAGACCUUCAGGCCCAGAGUAACCAGUACGACUCAUAUGCAGAUACCAGUAGUGCUCACGCCUCAUCUUCCAUCUAUACACUACUGCAGUCCCCUACAUAUUCCGACAUGCAUUCUUCGCAUAGCGAUAGAUCCACAUAUAUAACUCGUGCAGAAUCAGUUGCCGAUGAUAUUGUACGAUCACAGAUAAUAGCAAAAGCUUUUUCCAACAUUUAACAUGUUUUGUUCAUCAAAAACUUUUUCGUAAUAAAAAUAUUUAAAAAUAA